GGAACGUUCCAGUCAAAAUAUUUUUAUUUUUAACAUUUAAUCAUUUUUUUUAAUUUUUUCAGGUUUCACAAACCCAGACACCACCCCCCGCGGUUUGCCCUCCCAGAACCAGAGAGCCAAAAACAGACCAGCCACACACCCGACCUUCCCCCUCUCACCCGACCUUCCCCCUCUCAGCCGGUCUUCACCGCUAGCCGUAGCAGCGCCGUCCUCACCGAAGAUCCAGCAGCCCACAGAUCCCCAUCCCUAUUCCCUCACCCUCAACCACGAUAGAUCUUCCCUCGUCAGCACAGACCGGCCUCCACCGAAACCAACCCCAGAGCAGCCCAAACACAUCGGCGCCCACAGACCCAGAUCUGUCCGCCUUCUUCCUCCAGCUCCUCCCCCACAGACGGCGUCCUCUUCCUCAUCAACCGACUCUCCUUCUCUAAUUCAACCCCAUGUAGAAGAUCUGGACUGAGACCCAACCGCCAGAUCUGCCACCUGCAGAAGAAGAAAACAAAACGAACCGAGGAAAGGAGAAGGCGGAUUUCUUUUAACAUGUGAGAACUUCUGAUGAUACAAAUGGAACAGAAUGCUUCCUCUUUUAAUGAGCACUUGAGAGUUGUCCAGACGUGAAGCAGUUAGUUUUCUCUGCAACGUAUGGUGUCGUAUUACAUUACAUUACGAACCACAAUUACUAGGAGCUGAGCGGUUUUCCUGUUGCGCAGCUGCUUCUGUUUGGUUCACUAUUUUGGGACUUGGUAUAAGCCUUUCUUCUCUUUCUUUUUCUGUACCCUUUUUGGCUUGCUACUGUUUAUUGCUUCAUUGCUAGUCUUGAUAGAUUUUGGCUCUGAUUAGUAUGGGGUCUCUAGCUUUUUUUUGUGGGCUGGCCAUUCCAUCUUCACAGUAUGGAAUUGUCUCUGUAUGGCCUUAAUGUGCACAGGAAUAAAUAUUGGAUGAAAUUGAUGUGAAUGUAGAUGUUCAUAACAAGUAAUGUCUACUUUCCUUCCUGUGUUUCAAAAAAUUCAUAUGAGAAGCUGAGAAGGUGAUACAUGAGUCGGGCUUGUUGAAGCUUAAGAUUAUAAGCAUUCAGAAUAGGAUUUGCCACAAACAAACUAUAUAUGGAUGGCCAAACAUAAAGUAUUGUUGUGUGUUGCCCUAGAAUACUAGCAGCUUAAAAAGUCAACAUCAGAAGAUCAACUGUUGAGUCAUAUUUAAUUUUUUAUAGGAGAUUCUACAUGUUAUUUGCUUAAAUAGAAUAACCUUGUCAUCCAUCGAACCGGUGGAUGCCCUCAAAUUAGGUCUAGAAAAUGUUGUUCAUGUCAAUUAUGUUAUUUUUCUUGAUUUAUUUUGGAUUUAUUAUUUUAUUUUAGAUUUUAUAAUAAUUUUUUAAGUGCUUU